GAUGAACGCUGGCGGCGUGCCUAAUACAUGCAAGUCGAACGAGGUGCUUGAGUAGCAAUACGAGAGUAUCCUAGUGGCGAACGGGUGAGUAACGCGUUGGUGACCUACCCCAAAGUGUGGGAUAACAGUCCGAAAGGAUUGCUAAUACCGCAUGUGGUCUUCGGGUUUAGAAACCGAUGACGAAAGCAGCAAUGCGCUUUGGGAGGGACCUGCGUCCCAUCAGCAGUUGGUGAGGUAACGGCUCACCAAGGCGACGACGGGUAGGGGACCUGAGAGGGUGACCCCCCACAAUGGAACUGAAACACGGUCCAUACACCUACGGGUGGCAGCAGUAGGGAAUAUUGCACAAUGGGCGAAAGCCUGAUGCAGCAACGCCGCGUGCAUGAUGAAGGCC
rnacentral:rRNA from 1 species